AACUUGACUCUAACCUGGACCUUCAUUCAAUGCGAUGUCCAAGUCAGAAAACAUUGAAAACAUGGCGUAGUGGACAUAUUCAAUAAUACUCUCAUCGGAGACUGGGAAAGAAAUCACAAAUCAUGGGGAGC